GACGAACGCUGGCGGCGUGCCUAAUACAUGCAAGUCGAGCGGAACUGGGGGAGCUUGCUCCUUCCAGUUUAGCGGCGGACGGGUGAGUAACACGUGGGCAACCUGCCCUGCAGAUCGGGAUAACUCCGGGACACCGGUGCUAAUACCGAAUAGUUUGGCGCCUCUCCUGAGGCGCCACGGAAAGACGGUUUCGGCUUGCACUGCAGGAUGGGCCCGCGGCGCAUUAGCUAGUUGGUGGGGUAACGGCCCACCAAGGCGACGAUGCGUAGCCGACCUGAGAGGGUGACCGGCCACACUGGGACUGAGACACGGCCCAGACUCCUACGGGAGGCAGCAGUAGGGAAUCUUCCGCAAUGGACGCAAGUCUGACGGAGCAACGCCGCGUGAGUGACGAAGGUUUUCGGAUCGUAAAACUCUGUUGUGAGGGAAGAACACGUACCAACUAACUAUUGGUACCUUGACGGUACCUCACCAGAAAGCCACGGCUAACUACGUGCCAGCCGCCGCCGUAA
rnacentral:rRNA from 1 species